rnacentral:siRNA from 1 species
ACGGUAUACCACAGGUGAAAUCCA